rnacentral:misc_RNA from 1 species
UCCAGAAUUGGCUUCGAGAUGAUUACGAGGUGGAAAGCAUUGAACAGUACACGAAAGAAGAGAUGCUUACCUUAGUUAAUGAAGUAGUUGCAAGGCUCAUGGUGUCAAAAUAAGGGGA